UACGAAGGGGGCGAGCGUUGUUCGGAUUUACUGGGCGUAAAGGGCGCGCAGGCGGUCUUGAAAGUCAGGCGUGAAAGCCCCGGGCUUAACCUGGGAAUUGCGCUUGAUACUCUGAGACUGGAGUACGGGAGAGGAGAGUGGAAUUCCCAGUGUAGAGGUGAAAUUCGUAGAUAUUGGGAAGAACACCAGUGGCGAAGGCGGCUCUCUGGACCGUAACUGACGCUGAGGUGCGAAAGCGUGGGGAGCAAACAGG
rnacentral:rRNA from 1 species